UACAGAGGGUGCGAGCGUUAAUCGGAGUGACUGGGCGUAAAGGGCAUGUAGGCGGCGAUAUUAGUCUGAUGUGAAAGACCUGGGCUUAACCUGGGAACCGCAUUGGAGACGGUAUGGCUAGAGUAUGGGAGAGGGAAGUGGAAUUUCCGGUGUAGCGGUGAAAUGCGUAGAGAUCGGAAAGAACACUCGUGGCGAAGGCGGCUUUCUGGCCCACUACUGACGCUGAGGUGCGAAAGCAUGGGGAGCAAACAGG
rnacentral:rRNA from 1 species